UACGGGGGGGGCAAGCGUUGUUCGGAAUUACUGGGCGUAAAGGGCGCGUAGGCGGCCACCGCACGUCGGUUGUGAAAUCUCUGGGCUUAACCCAGAAAGGUCAAUCGAUACUGCGGGGCUAGAGUGCAGAAGGGGCAACUGGAAUUCUCGGUGUAGCGGUGAAAUGCGUAGAUAUCGAGAGGAACACCUGCGGCGAAGGCGGGUUGCUGGGCUGACACUGACGCUGAACUGCGAAAGCUAGGGGAGCGAACGGG
rnacentral:rRNA from 1 species